UAAGUGGGGUACCAGUCUCCAGAACUACUAUUAAAAAUGAAGGAACAGGACUGAUUGAUUUUAGCUGAUUGAAUCCCGUUUUUGUUGACUACUACAUGGAAAGUUUGUUUUUUGGUGUUGGGUGUCAUUAAAAAUUAGUCUCAGAAGGAAUCCAAGUUAUACUGAUAUUCUCACUCAUGGUGGGUUCACUGAGCCAAGCUUUUGUAAGCUAAAAAAAUGAUCCAGAAUAACCAUGUUUCAGGAGGGGUGGACAAUACCCUUUUCUAUUUGGUUGACAACUAUGCUUUCAGUGGGGCAUGUUCUUUUUUCAUUGCCACUUUUGAAACCAUUUGUAUUGGAUGGGUAUACGUUGGGUGCUUCCUGUUUUUGCAGGCGCUGACCUUUUCUGCUGCAGCAUUGCGGAUACGAUGGGCUAUCGUCCGUUCAGUACUGCUGGCUCUACAUAACCCCAGCUGUCUUGCUUGGUAGGUGUUUUUCCCCCAAUCCUUUUAAAUUUGCGUCUCUUCAUCGUUGGCUCCCAGCCAUCUAUGGGACAGGAAUGAAACACAGAAGUCAAAGGGACCUUUUUAUGGACACUUAUUUGGUUCUCAUAAAAAGCAGCUGUGAGCGAAGAGGUUUUGGAAGAGUUCGAUAAGGUGAUUUUGUGAGCCUGAGCCAGCAAGCCAGUGAGAAUCAAACAUUAACGGCACGGGUUUCCUGAACUCAAGAACAAUAGCUGUAAUCUACAUGUCUGGGUAAUAAGCUUUCCUACUUUGCUUUUAAUUUUUUUUUUUUAUUCAAGAACUUUCUCAAUAUGCCCAUACUUGAUAUUUUCUCUUCGUGCGGCUCCUCUUUCCUGGAAGUGUUGAAAGAAACUGUGACAAAUCUAUCUGUAGUCUCUGAGACAGAGUAGCAGGAUGUUCUGCUUCAUUUUAUUUGUUUACACUCUCCAUAAAUCCAGUUAAUUUGCCACACUACCAUUAGGUGAACUGCACUUGAAUGUUAUUUCUGUUCUCCGUUGUAUAUGUAUCUCACUGUUACCACCUUGAAAAUGUCUAUUUUUCCGAAACUCUGUAACAUCAUAGCAAAUUUUUUUUCAAAGCUUGGAAUAACUCAACUCAAAACUCCACUAUGAAUUGAUUGUUUUUCUUUACCUAAGUCGCCUAUGCAAAAUAAAAGAAUUGACUUCC